rnacentral:rRNA from 1 species
CUCAGGAUGAACGCUAGCGGGAGGCUUAACACAUGCAAGUCGAGGGGUAAGGUUCUCUUCGGAGAAUACACGACCGGCGCACGGGUGAGUAACGCGUAUGCAACCUACCUAUAACACAAGGAUAGCUCCCGGAAACGGGAAUUAAUACUUGAUGACAUUCAAAGAUGGCAUCAUCAAUGAAUCAAAGUUCCGGCGGUUAUAGAUGGGCAUGCGUGACAUUAGCUAGUUGGUGAGGUAGAGGCUCACCAAGGCGACGAUGUCUAGGGGGUCUGAGAGGAUGAUCCCCCACACUGGUACUGAGACACGGACCAGACUCCUACGGGAGGCAGCAGUGAGGAAUAUUGCGCAAUGGAGGAAACUCUGACGCAGCCAUCCCGCGUGCAGGAUUGACGGCCCUAUGGGUUGUAAACUGCUUUUCUAUACCAAGAAACACCGAUACGUGUAUCGGUUUGCCGGUAGUAUAGGAAUAAGCAUCGGCUAACUCCGUGCCAGCAGCCGCGGUAAUACGGAGGAUGCAAGCGUUAUCCGGAAUCACUGGGUUUAAAGGGUGCGCAGGCGGAAUAGUAAGUCAGAGGUGAAAGCCCACAGCUCAACUGUGGAAUUGCCUUUGAUACUGUUAUUCUUGAGUGUAGUUGAAGUAGGCGGAAUAUAGCAUGUAGCGGUGAAAUGCAUAGAUAUGCUAUAGAACACCAAUUGCGAAGGCAGCUUGCUAAACUAUAACUGACGCUGAGGCACGAAAGCGUGGGGAGCGAACAGGAUUAGAUACCCUGGUAGUCCACGCCGUAAACUAUGAACACUCGCUGUUGGCAAUACACAGUCAGCGGCUGAGCGAAAGCGUUAAGUGUUCCACCUGGGAAGUACGAUCGCAA